AUGGAGCAAGAGAGAAUGGCACGGUGUCUGGCAAGAAAGAGGUGAUGAGUCCAGAGAAAGGCACUGUCUGUUAUCCAGCAAACCACAUCCUAGUGGAAGAUUGCUUGGAGGGUGUUUGAUACUGUAAUAUCUGAGAGAAAUGAUCCAAACGAAACCAUAACCAAGGCAGAGCAAUGUUCAGCAAGGGAUUUACAGGUGUGCCAGCUACUGUCAACCAAACCACGGUGCUCUGGGAUUCAAACAGCACUAAGGAGUCAACCUGCUGUGUGCCACAGUAUCUGCAGCUGCCUCAGGUCGUGCCGCUGC
rnacentral:lncRNA from 1 species